GAAACCCACAGCCAUGAGGAUGUUCACUCUGCUCACCACCGUUCUCCUGCUGGCCCUGCACACCCAGGCAGAAUCUCCCUAAGGAGGCACCGAGGAGGCUUCAGACCAGGAACACUCUGUCAAUGAAGACCAGGAUAUUUCUAUAUCUUUUACGGGGGAUAAAAACACUGCUAUCCAAAAUGCAGAUGUGAAAUCAGACUUGACCUGCUAUUGCAGAGUCAUAGGCUAUGGUUUUGAAGAAUAGCCAUCUGGGACCUGCCAUUACUGUGGCCACAUCUUCAGAUUCUGCUGUCACUGAGCAAUAAGAACAAGAACAAUAUGUGUGUCAUCUGACUUGAGAAUUUGAAAGAGACUGCUUUUUGUGUCAUGUUAUGUCCUUGAGUUUUCUCAUCCUUUCUAUCCAAAUAAAGUUCUUACA
rnacentral:lncRNA from 1 species